ACCACAUUCACACAAUGAGUCGGAGGGGCUAUGCUCGUUUGACUCACAUUAUGGAAAAGACAAGUCCGAUGGAUACAAAAAUUACGAGAUCGCAAGUUUGGAUUGAAGGUCACAAGAGAAAAAAUGGGGAGCCCAGUACUCAAGCCGUUGGAGAGAAAAUGAAAAAAAUAUUAGAAUGUCCACCCGAAUCUCAAAACACAACUAAUAUUGCUGAUGAUGCAAUUAGCAUUGUGUUUGGCAAUGAAGC